rnacentral:lncRNA from 1 species
UUACAAAAUUUAGUCUAAAUAAUUGGUCUCAUUACCCUUUCACUGAGAUAUUGGACAACGUGCUUAAAAACGAAAUAACUCGUAUAUAUAGAGUAAACCCCACAAAAAUUAAAAUAGUCGGUUUAAAUUAUUAAAAUAUACAAAAUAAACCUCAUAAAAAAUAAAUGGUGAUAUGAAUAUGCUCUUAUUGACAUACCCCAUCCCGAAGGAGGGCAUGCUGGCCGUCACGUGAGAGUGACGUAACCAUUUGCACAGUACGGAAGCUUUAAGAUACAAUUUAAGUUGAUACACCCGAAGGUGAGUCCUAAUUUUGUCCAAUCUGUCAGAACACCGUCGAAUUCCUCGUAGUCACCACACCUUUGUGAUUCCUGAACCUGGAGGGGCGCAAAACCAAAAUUGAGUGGGUCAGUAAAACAAUUCUUUUCCAAAUCCAAACAAUUUUCAAAACGUUGUAACCCCUCUCCGUAAAACCUGUAUAUUUUCCCAGAAAUGUAAAAUAUAAAUAUACAUAUAUAUUCUCAAAACUUCAAGUCGUUAACUCAACAUUUUUCAUAACAAUUAUGCCAUGCCCACAUCAUCUCAACAUUUCUCAUAUUAAUUAUGCCAUGCCACAUCAUCUCAACAGUAAUAAGGUAUGAAUGCAUCAACAUAAUCAUAUCAGGUGCAAGAAAGUAAUCAACCGUAGGCCCUCUAAUAGCCCUGUACGGUUGAACCUAGAGCUCAAAAUCUAUCAUUAUCACUCUACCGGAGUCACCUCUGUGACCCGUCCGGCCUUCUGCACACAAGUUACGCUCUAGUGCUUCUCAUAAGUCAUCUGUGCACAUAAUCUAAGGUCACCCACCAGUCGGAAUCUCACUAACACUCUCGCGACUGGUCUGUCGUACCCACUCCGCGUGGACUGUACGACUAGCAUCUACUUGGAUCCAAGGCGAGCGUGCGAUGCGGUGAAUACUAUAAGCACUAAACCAUGGUGCAGGAUUUGAGCUCAAUAUAUAUCAUCAUCAUAAUAACAGUAAUUAAAUUCUUACCUGUGCGUCCACCGCACCAAUUCAUACAUAUGCAUCAUAAAUCAAUUCUUACCUGUGCGUCCACCGCACCAAUUCAUACAUAUGCAUCAUAUAUUAAUUCAUGCAUGGCAUUUCAACUCACAUUUCUAUAUACUUUUCAUAUCAAUUCUAUGCAUGGUAUUUCACUUCCCGUUUUUCCACAUAACUCAUAUGCAUUUCAUUUUAAACAUAUUUUCAUUUCAAUUCAAUUUCUGGGAAACGUCAAGUAUAUAUAUAUACGGAAACAAACUGCCCACUCACCUGGAGUUCGCCCUACAACUCCCUAGCACAAUACGCCAAGGCGUCAUGACGAUCGCCGCCUAGAAUAGUAAUCAAAUCCAGGCUCAGAAUUCAUAUCGAUAAAAUAUAAUAACUUAUAUAAAAUACGUCACUACGUAGUUCGAUCCGGAAGAUCUGCCACUCAGAUUUUAAAUCCAUAACUUCCAGAGGUCCACAAUAUAUCUCUAGGAUAACAUCCUAAAAUUUCAUUACCAUCCAACGGUUGGAUCUCCGUCAAUUUCCAAAACUAAGUGACGGUUAACAUUUUAUAUUAUGGACUUACAAUUCCAAUUCCGGAAGAUCCGUAACUCGGAUUCCCAAUCCGUAAGUUCCAAUAAUCCUCAAAUAUUACGUAUUACAACGUAUCAAAGUUUGGUGACAAUCCAACGGUCGGAUCAUCAAUUCACAUUUUCACCAAAACUAUAAAACGUUAUUCGAACACCUAACCAACAAUCCUUAAUAACUUUCUCAUACGGUGUUCAAUUUAGGUAUAUGAAUAUACCACAGUGAUCUACUCGACGUCACGGACGUCGACAUAUUUUUAAAAUAUUUUAUUUUUAUUUUUUAUUUUACUGUAGCACCAUCUUCUUCCUUGGGUCGCCGGACUGGUUUUUCCGGCGGCCGUUUUUCCGGGCAGUUUUUUCAAAUUGCCAUAACUUUGUCAUUUCUCAACGAAAUCAAGUGAUUCAAAAACGAAAGUUGUAGCCCUUGAAGAGACAAAGAGAAUGGUACCUUGCACAACACCUAGUUCGCCGUGGUUUGGCCGGAAACUGCCUCGAAAGCCUCGGAGGUCGCCGGAAACUGGGUAUUUUUCAAAUGAGUAUAACUUCUUCAAUACUCAACGAAAUUGAGUGAAACAAAAAGGAAAGUUGUAGUACUUGACGAGACGAAGAGAUUGAUACCUACCUCGACUCUUAACUCGCCGGGGAUUCGCCGGAAAAAGCCUCGAAAGCUCCGGCCAAACUUUGAACUUGUCGAUCUCAGUGUUCUUACGUCCAAAAACUUCCCACGAAGCACUCCGAGCUUCCUUGGGACCUCACUAAGCUCACUAUAAGCUUAGAAUUCCCUGAAACACAACAUUUUACGUUCACAUGAACAGUGACCAAAAAUGGAGGUUCGGGUUUCACAUGAUUCCGAAGGUUUCACUUCCUAAAACUAGUACCAAUGAACUCAGAAUGACGAAAGGAUGAAGAUGCAUACCUUAGUUGCCUCGAUCCGUCGAGUUUUGGAGGAUUUGGGUGUAUGCCGUACGUUUUGGGUGAGAGAGAGUGAGAGAGAAAGAGGAAGUCGUGAGGGAGGAGAGAGAAUGAACUGAGAGAGAGACAAGGUACGGGAAAGAGGGAGAAAAUUGAGGGGUGUGGGAUCCUACCCAAUCCCCAACUACAAAAUUCUAACAUAAAUUUAAAUCUAAGUCUCCACUCUACUUACCAAAUUUUAGGAGCUUAGAUAUAACGAACAUAAAAAUUAUACCUUAGCCACGUAUUAGGGGCAUUUUCGUAAUUUCACAUCCUCGGAAUUAAAAAUUCCGGGACGGGCUGUGACAAUCUUCCCUCCUUAUAGAAUUUCGUCCCCGAAAUUCCAACAACCAAUCCAAACAUCUACUCAUACCAACCUCGGUAAAUCUCUCUUAUCCGAUUCUCUUUCUCCCACGUAAUUUUCUUCCACUGAAUGAUUUCCUUCACAAAGCUUUUACCACUUACUCUGUCUUAAUUCUCAAGACUUUCUUUUUCCAAUCCAAAGUCGUCCUUGGUUCCUUAUCAAUUCGAAUCCAAUUUAAUUCUCAAUAGUUGCACCAGAAUCUCAUGUGACGAAUCUGCCACCUAGUGACAACGUAUCGAACCCAAAAUACAUUAAGUACCUUAGCCAACUCUGAAGACAUCACCACUUGUAUGCAACUUUAUUGAUUCCUUUAGUGAUCAAAAAUGGUCUGAUGUGUCUAAAUCUUAUUUUGUCUCCUUUCCAACCCGAAUUAUACUUUUCUAUGGUGAACACUUCGAAAAUAUAAAACCAUUUGUCUUAUACACUCGAUUAGUGGCAUAUCCCUCUGUUAAUCUCUUUUGCCUCAAUCUGCUGACCAAAUAAAACUGUCGAAUGGUAUGAUAAAUCUUAUUACUUUUGGAAUAUUACAGAAGUUAAACAAUGUACUUCGUCCAAAAUUGCUUACUUUAAAUCCUUAGCAUUAGGCACAUACUUUUUGUUUUCUUGUAUCCACAUACCAUUUGAUUCACGAAUCAUGUACUCAUUCUUUUUCCCUUCUUUCUCUGCCUUGGUUAAUUCUUAAAUUUCCUCGUCAAACAUUUAAGUUUCGAGUACGACCUUACCAAAUAGGCCUAACUUGAAAUUUAACAAGUAUAACUUCUUCUCGAUCUUUCAUUCUUAACUUUUCUUCCAUUGGUUUUCAAUCCACAAGAUGAUACUCUUGGCAAACGUGCCAGAUAUUAAUCUUACUGUAGUCUUCUCACCAAGUGCUUCAGCUAGAACAAAUUUUACGAUCACCUUGAUCGUACAAUCAUGUUCAUUAAGCAAUACAAUUCACUUUCGCUGCCUCAUAUCAAAAUCCUUCCAAGUAAUGGAUAUUGAAGACUUUUUGGAUUCGUAAAAAUCUUGCAUUCUUACCAAAUAUAUAAUGUCUCCAUAACUUCACAGUAAGAAUGGUAAUCAUGACUUCCAAGUCACUCGUAGGGUAAUUCAUCUCAUGAGGUUCCAUUUAUCAUGAAACGUAUGCAAUCACCCUAACAUUUGCAUCAACAUGCCUCCAAUACCAUUCAAGAAACAUCACUAAAAAUUUAUGAUUACCACUAUUCUCUGGGAAUACCAAAUUACGUGCAUGAGUGAGGAAAUACUUCAGUUGUUGAAUCAUUUGCUCACAAUUUCCUUCCCACUCAUACAUAACCUCUUUUCUCAACAGUCUCGUUAAUGACAAAGCAAUGACUAAAAAUUCUUUCACAACCAUCCAAAAUAGCCUGGUAAGCUAAGAAAUUCCAAAUCUCAAUUACGACUCGUGGUUGUUCCAAAUUCUCAAUUUCUGCUAUCUUUUAAGAAUUCAUUUGAAUACCUUAAGCAGAUAUAACCAAUCUCAGAAUGCCACUUGAUUCAUCCAACAUUCGCAUUUGCUAAACUUAGCAUACAACCAACGUUCUCUCAAUCUUUGCUUCACCGACUUAAUACGUUUACAUGCUCUGCUCUGGCUCAGAAUAUGCCAGAAUAUCUUCAAUGAAAAUGAUAUCAAUUUAUCAAGGCAUUAUUGGAAUACUUCAUCCAUCAACUCAUAAAACAGCAUGAGUAUCCAUAUAGCAUCACCAAACUUCAUAAAGACUAUAACAAGUCCAGAAAACCAUCUUAUGAUCAACGUCACUUAUAAUAUUCAAUUGGUAGAACCAGAUCUCAAUUCAAUCUUUGAAUCUUCGCAAUUACUUCUGAGCUGGUUAAAUAAACAUCAGUACAUCACCAUGGAUAACGGUUCUCAAUCGUUACCCGACUCCAUUGUCUAUAAUCAAUGAACAAUCUCAAGAUCCAUUUUUCUUCCUCACCAACAAACUGGGCUCCUCAAAAGUGUUGUACUAGGUUGAAUAAAACUUUUAUCAACCAAUUCUCUCAACUGAAUUUCCAAUUCCCUUAACUCAUCCUGAACCAAUCUCCAAUAUAAAUUUAUACCUGGCAACAAAUCAAUAAUGAACCUCAUAUCUCUGCCUGAAGGCAAUCCAGGUAUACUUUCAAGGAAGACAUCAAGAAAAGUCUAACUCUUUCGACAUUAUUCACACUACUCCAAACAACAUCAUUUAGCACCACAUGAGCUAAGUAUUUUUGACAGCCUUUCGAAAACAAUCUCUUUGCUCUCACAGCAUAAAUAACAGCCUGACUCAAUCCAUUUUGCAUACUUACAAAAGUAAUCUCUGUUCAUCCAUAUCGAUGGAAAGUACUGGUUUCCCGUAACAUUCCGUCUUGUCACAAUUAUAACCAACCAAUCUAAUGGAACAGAAUUAACUGAUACAAUAUAUAUUCUAUUAUUAUUAAGCAUUCUAAAUAAGUACAAUACUAACAUAAAAUAAUCUACCGGUUUGCUUGCUUAACGAAUCCACGAAUGAGUUAUUAAUAUUACGGUCUGCAGCCCGCAAUACUGAUAAAUCAUCGUUGUCUCGAUAAGUAGGCAACCACUCUCAAAGAUAUAACAUUACUAUUUUGUUACUCAAUGCAAAAUACAUACACUCGUCUCAACUACAUUUAUUUACUACUCUCUAGGUAAUAACAUACAUAAUAAGAAAUAUAUCAGCCGAAGUCAACUAGAAUGACCAAUACGGCUGAUUCAACUCUUAUCUCAAUAAUACGUCGGCCGGAUCCACUCCGCGUGGUCGGUAUGGCUGAGCCUAUAACUCACCAUUUCUCAUGUGUCAAUCGAAUCCACUUCUCAUGGUCUGUACGACUGAACAUAUAACUCAUCAAAUCUCUCUGUACUCACAGUCAAUCCGACCAAACUACUAAAUUCAUAAACUUGUUGAAUCAACACUAUGAUAUCAUGGAAAAUUGUUGAGUACAACUGAUUCUAGGGACGAUUCACAAUUCUGUGUCCCCUCUGUUCACAUAAACACAUUCAUUAAUUUCACAUUUCCCAAAGUGUUAAUUUUUUUUUUUUUUUUUUUUUUUUUUUUUUUUUUUUUUUUUUUUUUUUUUUUUUUUUUUUUUUUGUACCUGCUGCACAAGGUACAUUUCCUUUACUCGAGACACCUUGUCUCAAAUAUCUGGGAUUACCAGUAUAUCCAUCACUUUUACUCUGACCAGCGACAUUAAAACCUCAGCUGGAAGAAUUAACUCUAGCUUCACUUCUUUCGAAGCUCUGAAUCUUUCUAUAUCCUUGAUAUGACGAAUCAUUGACUUUAUCGUCUUCUUUUGAGUCUCAUUCAUUUCUUAUUCUUCUUUAUUCUCGUUGCUCAUGUUCUCAGAGUCCUCAAGACUCAACAGCAUCUCGCAUACUCCUGAUAAGAAUUACAAUGGAUAGUGGUCACCCAAAAUACCACUUCCCUUUUGCCACCCAGCCUAAAACAACAUAACACCUCCACCAAAUUCACAACAAUAUCUGGAUAGAACGAGGCAAGUCUGAAAACUUUCUAUAAUAUCCCUCGAUCAUCACCUUCCUUGUCUCAUAUUUGUAAACUCUUGUUUACCACCAUCGAUAAAUGCCGGAGGGAUAAACUUUUCCUUUAAACAAGUCCUUAAACAAUUCUCAAUCGACUGAUUCCUAUGGUGACAACAAUUCAUACUCCUGUUUCCACCAGGAUACAAAUUCAUAACCAAAACCAGGUAGUCGUCUCGACCCCUUGUCAGAAGGAAAUUUCCUUUGACUUGCAUAAUCUGAAACAUCUUUUCCAAUUGGUUAAACCGUUACUUCGCUCCCUCAGGUUCAUCAUUUCAUAAGGUGAUUCAAAUUCAACUCAUAACCCAUCUUAAAAUGUCCCUUUUUAUAAUAGACUGAAUCACCAUAAUAAUAGUUUUCCCUAAACCGCUAUAUUAGGGAGACUAAAUUCCUCUAACUACGUGGUUUGCUACGAGGCGGUGUAGUUCUGACAGAAUUCACUAUAAACUUCUCAAGAUGUCCAAGAUUGCAACCAUGCUCUGAUACCAACUGACAUACCCCAUCCCGAAGGAGGGCAUGCUGGCCGUCACGUGAGAGUGACGUAACCAUUUGCACAGUACGGAAGCUUUAAGAUACAAUUUAAGUUGAUACACCCGAAGGUGAGUCCUAAUUUUGUCCAAUCUGUCAGAACACCGUCGAAUUCCUCGUAGUCACCACACCUUUGUGAUUCCUGAACCUGGAGGGGCGCAAAACCAAAAUUGAGUGGGUCAGUAAAACAAUUCUUUUCCAAAUCCAAACAAUUUUCAAAACGUUGUAACCCCUCUCCGUAAAACCUGUAUAUUUUCCCAGAAAUGUAAAAUAUAAAUAUACAUAUAUAUUCUCAAAACUUCAAGUCGUUAACUCAACAUUUUCAUAACAAUUAUGCCAUGCCACAUCAUCUCAACAUUUCUCAUAUUAAUUAUGCCAUGCCACAUCAUCUCAACAGUAAUAAGGUAUGAAUGCAUCAACAUAAUCAUAUCAGGUGCAAGAAAGUAAUCAACCGUAGGCCCUCUAAUAGCCCUGUACGGUUGAACCUAGAGCUCAAAAUCUAUCAUUAUCACUCUACCGGAGUCACCUCUGUGACCCGUCCGGCCUUCUGCACACAAGUUACGCUCUAGUGCUUCUCAUAAGUCAUCUGUGCACAUAAUCUAAGGUCACCCACCAGUCGGAAUCUCACUAACACUCUCGCGACUGGUCUGUCGUACCCACUCCGCGUGGACUGUACGACUAGCAUCUACUUGGAUCCAAGGCGAGCGUGCGAUGCGGUGAAUACUAUAAGCACUAAACCAUGGUGCAGGAUUUGAGCUCAAUAUAUAUCAUCAUCAUAAUAACAGUAAUUAAAUUCUUACCUGUGCGUCCACCGCACCAAUUCAUACAUAUGCAUCAUAAAUCAAUUCUUACCUGUGCGUCCACCGCACCAAUUCAUACAUAUGCAUCAUAUAUUAAUUCAUGCAUGGCAUUUCAACUCACAUUUCUAUAUACUUUUCAUAUCAAUUCUAUGCAUGGUAUUUCACUUCCCGUUUUUCCACAUAACUCAUAUGCAUUUCAUUUUAAACAUAUUUUCAUUUCAAUUCAAUUUCUGGGAAACGUCAAGUAUAUAUAUAUACGGAAAACAAAACUGCCCACUCACCUGGAGUUCGCCCUACAACUCCCUAGCACAAUACGCCAAGGCGUCAUGACGAUCGCCGCCUAGAAUAGUAAUCAAAUCCAGGCUCAGAAUUCAUAUCGAUAAAAUAUAACUUAUAUAAAAUACGUCACUACGUAGUUCGAUCCGGAAGAUCUGCCACUCAGAUUUUAAAUCCAUAACUUCCAGAGGUCCACAAUAUAUCUCUAGGAUAACAUCCUAAAAUUUCAUUACCAUCCAACGGUUGGAUCUCCGUCAAUUUCCAAAACUAAGUGACGGUUAACAUUUUAUAUUAUGGACUUACAAUUCCAAUUCCGGAAGAUCCGUAACUCGGAUUCCCAAUCCGUAAGUUCCAAUAAUCCUCAAAUAUUACGUAUUACAACGUAUCAAAGUUUGGUGACAAUCCAACGGUCGGAUCAUCAAUUCACAUUUUCACCAAAACUAUAAAACGUUAUUCGAACACCUAACCAACAAUCCUUAAUAACUUUCUCAUACGGUGUUCAAUUUAGGUAUAUGAAUAUACCACAGUGAUCUACUCGACGUCACGGACGUCGACAUAUUUUUAAAAUAUUUUUAUUUUUAUUUUUUUAUUUUACUGUAGCACCAUCUUCUUCCUUGGGUCGCCGGACUGGUUUUUCCGGCGGCCGUUUUCCGGGCAGUUUUUCAAAUUGCCAUAACUUUGUCAUUUCUCAACGAAAUCAAGUGAUUCAAAAACGAAAGUUGUAGCCCUUGAAGAGACAAAGAGAAUGGUACCUUGCACAACACCUAGUUCGCCGUGGUUUGGCCGGAAACUGCCUCGAAAGCCUCGGAGGUCGCCGGAAACUGGGUAUUUUUCAAAUGAGUAUAACUUCUUCAAUACUCAACGAAAUUGAGUGAAACAAAAAGGAAAGUUGUAGUACUUGACGAGACGAAGAGAUUGAUACCUACCUCGACUCUUAACUCGCCGGGGAUUCGCCGGAAAAAGCCUCGAAAGCUCCGGCCAAACUUUGAACUUGUCGAUCUCAGUGUUCUUACGUCCAAAAACUUCCCACGAAGCACUCCGAGCUUCCUUGGGACCUCACUAAGCUCACUAUAAGCUUAGAAUUCCCUGAAACACAACAUUUUACGUUCACAUGAACAGUGACCAAAAAUGGAGGUUCGGGUUUCACAUGAUUCCGAAGGUUUCACUUCCUAAAACUAGUACCAAUGAACUCAGAAUGACGAAAGGAUGAAGAUGCAUACCUUAGUUGCCUCGAUCCGUCGAGUUUUGGAGGAUUUGGGUGUAUGCCGUACGUUUUGGGUGAGAGAGAGUGAGAGAGAAAGAGGAAGUCGUGAGGGAGGAGAGAGAAUGAACUGAGAGAGAGACAAGGUACGGGAAAGAGGGAGAAAAUUGAGGGGUGUGGGAUCCUACCCAAUCCCCAACUACAAAAUUCUAACAUAAAUUUAAAUCUAAGUCUCCACUCUACUUACCAAAUUUUAGGAGCUUAGAUAUAACGAACAUAAAAAUUAUAC